GCCGAAGUGGCGGAAUGGCAGACGCGAUCGACUCAAAAUCGAUUGGGGUUACCCCCCAUGUGGGUUCGACUCCCACCUUCGGCACCA
rnacentral:tRNA from 1 species